rnacentral:tRNA from 1 species
UCGCUAGUAGCUCAGAUGGUAAAGUGUCCGCCUACAAUGCGGGAGACCCGGGUUCGAUCCCUGGGUUGGGAA